rnacentral:rRNA from 1 species
GUAGUCCAUGCCGUAAACGAUGUCGACUUGGAGGUUGUUUCCAAGAGAAGUGACUUCCGAAGCUAACGCAUUAAGUCGACCGCCUGGGGAGUACGGCCGCAAGGCUAAAACUCAAAUGAAUUGACGGGGGCCCGCACAAGCGGUGGAGCAUGUGGUUUAAUUCGAUGCAACGCGAAAAACCUUACCUGGUCUUGACAUCCACAAAAUUUUUUAGAAAUAAAAAAGUGCCUUCGGGAAUUGUGAGACAGGUGCUGCAUGGCUGUCGUCAGCUCGUGUUGUGAAAUGUUGGGUUAAGUCCCGCAACGAGCGCAACCCUUAUCCCCUGUUGCCAGCGGUUCGGCCGGGAACUCAGAGGAGACUGCCGGUUAUAAACCGGA